rnacentral:rRNA from 1 species
UACGUAGGCAGCAAGCGUUGUUCGGAGUUACUGGGCGUAAAGGGUGUGUAGGCGGUUCUUUAAGUUUGGUGUGAAAUCUCCCGGCUCAACUGGGAGGGUGCGCCGAAUACUGAGGGACUAGAGUACGGGAGAGGAAAGUGGAAUUCCUGGUGUAGCGGUGAAAUGCGCAGAUAUCAGGAAGAACACCCGUGGCGAAAGCGGCUCUCUGGAACGGUACUGACGCUGAGACGCGAAAGCGUGGGGAGCGAACAGG